AUGCUCAUGUUUAUGUUGAAUUCUACUGGCCAUUCUCUAAAUCUGGGUCUGUUUGUACAAGAUGGAGUCUGUUUGUACAUGAUGGAGUCUGUUUGUACAAGAUGGAGUCUGUUUGUACAAGAUGGAGUCUGUUUGUACAAGAUGUUGUACAAGAUGGAGUCUGUACAGAUGGUCUGUUUGUACAAGAUGGAGUCUGCUGGUACAUGGAGUCUGUUUGUACAUUGGAGUUGUUUGUACAUGGAGUCUGUUUGUACAUGGAGUCUGUUUGUACAUGGAGUCUGUUUGUACAUGAUGGAGUCUGUUUGUACAAGAUGGAGUCUGUUUGUACAAGAUGGAGUCUGUUUGUACAUGAUAGGGGCUGUGUGUGUGCACUCACAUGUGUAUGCGUGAGUGUGUAUGGCAUGUAAACGUGUGAGUAAAAAAAAAAAAGGUCAAGAAGUGUUUGUGCGUGUGACACAGGAGUCUGGUGUCGGAGAGGACAGCUCAUAAUGGGGUGACUGGAAUAUUAUCAAACCCAUGGAAACCUUGUGUUUGUGUUUGACACCAUUCCAUGAAUUCUUUUCCAGGCAUUACUAUGAGCCCAUCCUCCCCAAUUAAGGUAACACCAGCCACCUGUGGUGUGAGUGUAAGGUUUAAAGAGUCAGUCUGUGUUUUCUACUUAGCAUAGAGGGAAUCCUCUUGACCUGCCAAAACCUGACCUGCAAAGGCAGCUUUAGGAAGGGGAGGGGUCAAGGGGGGCCAAGGGUUAGGACUUGGUCUCUCUGGUCAGCCCUAAUUUUCCCUCCCCCACACCCAUCUGGCCAAAGUAGAUCAGCCUGGCUAGCCACUAGACUGCUUGUCCCCUAUCCGUCUGAGCCUGCUCAAUAGAAGGGACUGACCAGCUGACUGGCUGACCGGCUGGGGGAGGGACUGACUGACUGGCUGGCUGGGAGUGAGACUGACUGGCUGGAGGAGGGACUCGCUGACUGGCUGGGAGAGGGACUGACUGACUGGCUGGCUGACUGGGGGAGGGACUGACUGACUGGCUUACCAGCUGACUGGCAAGGGGAGGGACUGGUUGACUGGCUGGGAGAGGGACUAACUGACUGGCUGCCUGGCUGGAAGUGAGACUGACUGAUUGGCUGGAGGAGGGACUGACUGACUAGCUGGGGGAGGUACUGACUGACUGGCUGACUGCCUCUGGGUGGGAGGCCCAGGAGACUAAGGGAGCUGUUUCUGUAGUGUAGUGGCUGGCCCCAUACACAUGUUACUGGGCAGUUUAAUCGGAUAGACUCUGCUGUGUGAAGGGAAGCAGAGAGGAGCUUCUCUUUCCCCUAUUAUACAGCAUAACACGCUUCCCCAACAUAUACUCUGUAGACAGACUUGUGUGGAUGGAAUGUGCGUUCUGUAUGUAGGGAAGAAGGAUGGUUACCCGUGUACAGACACGCAUACAUGCACAAACCAACACAAACUCAAUGAGAAAACCAUACUCAUGCUCGCUCGCAUGCACACGCACACACCCCCCCAAUCUAAACACAGACAGGUCAUAGUGCUGACUCUUGAGACAUCGUCAAUGGGGACUGGAGAGUGGAGGGUGUGCAGGGCUUGGUACAGUCAUUUGUUAUGACUGGACUGGGAAUUAUAGGGUGUUCUAUUCUUAGGUCUAGAGGGGUAGACUCCUGGUCAGACACAGCAUGUAUUGUACCUGUAGGAAGGUGAUGGGAGGUGGGGUGUGUGUGUGUGUGUGUGUGUGUGUGUGUGUGUGUGUUCCACCAUCAGAGUAAGACCUCAGACCUCUGUUCCUCAGGAGGAAGAGGGGAGGAUGAGGAUGAUUUAUGAGUUUCACUGUGCCAAGCCAUAUGCCAUCCACACACACACACACAC
rnacentral:lncRNA from 1 species